rnacentral:rRNA from 1 species
GGGGAAUAUUGGACAAUGGGCGAAAGCCUGAUCCAGCCAUGCCGCGUGAGUGAUGAAGGCCUUAGGGUUGUAAAGCUCUUUUGUGCGGGAAGAUAAUGACGGUACCGCAAGAAUAAGCCCCGGCUAACUUCGUGCCAGCAGCCGCGGUAAUACGAAGGGGGCUAGCGUUGCUCGGAAUCACUGGGCGUAAAGGGUGCGUAGGCGGGUCUUUAAGUCAGGGGUGAAAUCCUGGAGCUCAACUCCAGAACUGUCUUUGAUACUGAGGAUCUUGAGUUCGGGAGAGGUGAGUGGAACUGCGAGUGUAGAGGUGAAAUUCGUAGAUAUUCGCAAGAACACCAGUGGCGAAGGCGGCUCACUGGCCCGAGACUGACGCUGAGGCACGAAAGCGUGGGGAGCAAAC